rnacentral:rRNA from 1 species
CUCCUACGGAGGCUGCAGUGAGGAAUAUUGGUCAAUGGACGCAAGUCUGAACCAGCCAUGCCGCGUGAAGGAUGAAGGCGUUCUGCGUUGUAAACUUCUUUUAUCUGGGAAGAAACCUCAGUUUUCUAAUUGAGCCGACGGUACCAGAGGAAUAAGCACCGGCUAACUCCGUGCCAGCAGCCGCGGUAAUACGGAGGGUGCAAGCGUUAUCCGGAUUCACUGGGUUUAAAGGGUGUGUAGGCGGGUAUUUAAGUCAGUGGUGAAAUCUCCGGGCUCAACCCGGAAACUGCCAUUGAUACUAUUUAUCUUGAAUCUUGUUGAGGUAGGCGGAAUAUAUCAUGUAGCGGUGAAAUGCUUAGAUAUGAUAUAGAACACCGAUUGCGAAGGCAGCUUACUAAACAGGCAUUGACGCUGAGGCACGAAAGCGUGGGGAUCAAACAGGAUUAGAUACCCUGGUAGUCCACGCCCUAAACGAUGAUUACUCGACAUACGCGAUAUUACUGUGUGUGUCUGAGCGAAAGCAUUAAGUA